GCUCAAGCAUCGUGUGAUGGAAGAUUUAUCAUUUUCCUUUCAUAGUUAAGCCUUUGAUACAUUAGGAAUUUAUUUCCUGUCACGUGGGAUCCUACUUCAUUUCCUUUCUAAUCGAUAACAAGUGAUGUCAUUUUAUUUUAUUGAAGCAUUAUUCUUUCAGCCAAUGCAGAUACUAACAGCUCUGUAUGGUAAACUGCAGUGAAUUCUGGGAUGUGUAUCUAGCUCCUGUCUCUGACUCACCUCUUCCUUUCCUAUCACCACACUGCUUUGACAAUGAGUGGCUUGUGGUAUAUUUUAGCGUCAAUCGAGGCAAGGGCAGCCUUCCAAGUUUUCACUUUCUCAUCCUUCUGGAGUGCAGGUUCCUCUCUGUGAACUGUGAAGCCAUUGUGUUAGGAAGCUAAUGGCAGAAGGCCUGGAAUUGGGCUGAGUGGUUUCACAGAAAUAUGAGAUGAAUUUUCUUGGCACGGCCCCAAUCCUGAUGAGUGAUUCAGCUUCAGAGCUACAGUCCACAGAUGUCCCUUCUGUUCGUGUGUCACAGACCAAAUCAAAUUAGAUGGCCCUGCUGACUUCAAAAGGACAGGAAAAUGCUACCCUGAGGGGAGGGCAGUGGGAAGUUGAGGAAUAUUAAUAGGGGAGAUGACACACCUGUGGGCUGAGUCUAUUCCAGCUGCCAGGAGUCUUGAACUUCUUCCUUCACAGUCAGGAAGCUGAGAGUUCAAGAUCAAGGGAGCAGGUGUGCCCAGAUCUAAACACUCUCAUCCCUCACAAAUGUGCCUGAAGACUUGACUCCCAGGUGAACGUCGAAGUCCAAAGUCAGGCCUUUUUCCACACGGAGUCCACUUCAGUGGCGAAACUUACUGAGGAAUGUCUCACUGGAUCCACAUCUAAGCUUUGUUAACCCUCCUUCAGAUCUGCCCGUGCCUCAGUGUGCUGCAAGAGUCAAAUGGGCCGAUUGCCUUGAGAACAAUCUCUAAGCCACCGCCGCCGAGAGUCAGGAGAGGACAGCCAUCACCAUGGAACCGUCAGCCGCAUCCACCCACCCACACCAUCCGAACUGGGGCUGGCAAAGGCAGUGUGACAACAUCCCGAGAAGAUUCUGGAAGAAGGUGUUUCCACUCCACACCAGCUGGGCCACUGAGACGAUUAUCCUCGUCCCAAGUCUAUCUACUUACAAGUCCAGGUAACAGCAGAGUGCUUCACACAGCCUCAGAGAAUGCAUCAUGC
rnacentral:lncRNA from 1 species